UACGGGGGGAGCAAGCGUUGUUUGGAUUUACUGGGCGUAAAGGGCGCGUAGGCGGCCACCGCAAGUCGACUGUGAAAUCUCCGGGCUUAACCCGGAAAGGUCAGCCGAUACUGCGGGGCUAGAGUGCAGAAGGGGCAACUGGAAUUCUCGGUGUAGCGGUGAAAUGCGUAGAUAUCGAGAGGAACACCUGCGGCGAAGGCGGGUUGCUGGGCUGACACUGACGCUGAUGCGCGAAAGCUAGGGGAGCGAACGGG
rnacentral:rRNA from 1 species